rnacentral:rRNA from 1 species
AAAACUUUCAACAACGGAUCUCUUGGUUCCGGCAUCGAUGAAGAACGCAGCGAAAUGCGAUAAGUAAUGUGAAUCGCAGAAUUCAGUGAAUCAUCGAAUCUUUGAACGCACAUUGCGCCCCUUGGUAUUCCGAGGGGCAUACCUGUUCGAGCGUCAUUGCACCCCUCACGCCCCCUCUCGGGCGUGGUCUUG